rnacentral:rRNA from 1 species
UACGGAGGGUGCAAGCGUUAUCCGGAUUCACUGGGUUUAAAGGGUGCGUAGGCGGGCUGGUAAGUCCGUGGUGAAAUCUCCGAGCUUAACUCGGAAACUGCCGUGGAUACUAUCAAUCUUGAAUAUCGUGGAGGUAAGCGGAAUAUGUCAUGUAGCGGUGAAAUGCUUAGAUAUGACAUAGAACACCAAUUGCGUAGGCAGCUUGCUACACGAACAUUGACGCUGAGGCACGAAAGCGUGGGGAGCAAACAGG